GGCCCUACGGGGCGCAGCAGUGGGGAAUAUUGCACAAUGGGGGAAACCCUGAUGCAGCGACGCCGCGUGAGUGAAGAAGUAUUUCGGUACGUAAAGCUCUAUCAGCAGGGAAGAAAAAAAGUCCUUUGGACUUUGGACGGUACCUGACCAAGAAGCCCCGGCUAACUACGUGCCAGCAGCCGCGGUAAUACGUAGGGGGCAAGCGUUAUCCGGAUUUACUGGGUGUAAAGGGUGCGUAGGCGGCCUGCUAAGACUGGAGUGAAAGGUACCGGCUCAACCGGUACAGGCUCUGGAAACUGGCGGGG
rnacentral:rRNA from 1 species